GUUUUUCUGGUAUUUUUUUUAAAACCUAAGCAAAGAUACUACCUGAGAACUAAGCAACUUUAAAAUUUUACUUGUCACUAGACAUUUUUUAUGACUGAGAGCAACAUUUCUGCUUGCAGACUUACUUAACAAAAUUGUAACAAUGACUAUUUAAAAUCCAAUUCAAAGGAAAACUACUUCUAAAAAAUAAAGUUAUGGGAUAGACAGAGAAUGGGGAGAAACAGCAAAUUAUAUGAAGAAAAGAAGUCUAUUCCAUUUUAAAUUAUGCUUAGUCUCAUAAAAUUAUUAUCAGAGCAGACUCUCUGGCUGCAGGGAAUAGUUUGCAUUUUUUUUUCUGCAAACAGCACAAGAAUGGGAUUUUAAAGUUUGUUCAAAAUGCUAAAACUCUCUCAGUCUCAUAAAACAGGUUUUUAAGGGUCUCUUGAUGUACCUCAAUAAAAAUUUGCUUUUAUUUUGGUAGUUUUUUACUUUUCUAAUAUCAGCUGAUUAAUAUAUAUGAAUACCUGAAGUUUUACUUGAAGAGGACUACAUUAGUAUUUGAAUCAGUGUGGAAAAAAUACCCCAAACAUUUCAGAAUCUGAUUAGAAAAAUAAUUUCCAUCUGAACAGAUCCUUAAAAUACAAGGUUUAUUCAUAGUACUUGUAAUGGAAGGAUUUUAGACAGCAGUGAAACCUAUCCCUCCUAAUCUUGAGGGUGGCUGAACUUGUCUCAGGCUCCUCCCUUUCUGACGGUGAGGGUCUGCCUGCUUUACUGCAGAUGUAGAUUUUCUAUUUUGUUAAUUUUUCUUUCGUAGGCUUCAGGGAUUUUCUCCUUUUACAUUCUUCUCAUGUGAUGGUUGCUGGAAGGGGGAAGGUAAAAGCAGGGGAGAUUGAAAGUAGCCUGGUGUAAGCCCCCAAAGCAGCUUACCUGCCACAGUCACCUCUGGUUUCUCUGGAUCUGUGUGUCUCAAAUGAAGCUCCUGAAGCAGCACACGUGGUCCUACAGAGCAGGGGUGUCUGCUCAGUCUGGAGAACAGCUUACACCCUCUCAGGGAGGCUCCCUGACCUCUGCUGUGACUGCUUCCUAGCCAGGUGAGAUUACUCUUCUGAAAUACUGUGCUGGAAACCUUCAAACAAAGAUGCAGAUAGAUGUUUCUUAGGUGAUGGUAAAAGUGGUAUAAAUUUACAAGGUUGCUGCCUCUCUGUCAGCUUUGUAAUCUCCUUUUCAUUGUCUGUCCAUUAUGAAUUAUGUGUUAGAGAAUAUCUUUCAGUAGUAUUGAAUGUCUCGUGCCAAUAUAUGAAGCUAAAUGUUCUAUUUCAAAUAUAGUUAUUAGUAUUGCUCUGGAAGUGUUGGUCUUGGCACAGAUUACCAAUGGGUCUUGAGUAAAUUUCUCCUGUAGGUCUUCCAGUCUGCACUGAGAUGCUGUGAUUAUGCUGACAGCAACAACUCUGUAGAAAUCUUAAAGAUAGUUUUGGUGUGUCUGUGUGAACAGGAGUGAUGCAGGA
rnacentral:lncRNA from 1 species